rnacentral:rRNA from 1 species
CCUACGGGAGGCUGCAGUGGGGAAUAUUGCACCAUGGGGGAAACCCUGAUGCAGCGACGCCGCGUGAGUGAAGAAGUAUUUCGGUACGUAAAGCUCUAUCAGCAGGGAAGAAAAUGACGGUACCUGACUAAGAAGCCCCGGCUAACUAAGUGCCAGCAGCCGCGGUAAUACGUAGGGGGCAAGCGUUAUCCGGAUUUACUGGGUGUAAAGGGAGCGUAGACGGCAGCGCAAGUCUGGAGUGAAAUCCCAUGGCUUAACCAUGGAACUGCUUUGGAAACUGUGCAGCUAGAGUGCAGGAGAGGUAAGCGGAAUUCCUAGUGUAGCGGUGAAAUGCGUAGAUAUUAGGCGGAACACCAGUGGCGAAGGCGGCUUACUGGACUGUAACUGACGUUGAGGCUCGAAAGCGUGGGGAGCAAACAGGAUUAGAUACCCUGGUAGUC